rnacentral:tRNA from 1 species
CAAAGUGUAGCUUAAACCCAAAGCAUCUAGUUUACACCUAGAAGAUCUCACAUAAAAUUGAUCACUUUGA